AGAGUUUGAUUAUGGCUCAGGAUGAACGCUAGCGACAGGCUUAACACAUGCAAGUCGAGGGGCAGCGGGGCGGCAGGCUUGCCUGCCGUUGCCGGCGACCGGCGCACGGGUGAGUAACACGUAUGCAACCUGCCCGUGGCAGGGGGAUAAGCGGGGGAAACCCCGUCUAAUACCGCGUAACGCGGCCUAGGGACAUCCCAAGGCCGCCAAAGGGAGCAAUCCCGGCCACGGAUGGGCAUGCGGCGCAUUAGCUAGUCGGCGGGGUAACGGCCCACCGAGGCGACGAUGCGUAGGGGUUCUGAGAGGAAGGCCCCCCACACUGGUACUGAGACACGGACCAGACUCCUACGGGAGGCAGCAGUGAGGAAUAUUGGUCAAUGGGCGCGAGCCUGAACCAGCCAAGUCGCGUGAGGGAGGACGGCCCUACGGGUUGUAAACCUCUUUUGCCGGGGAGCAACGGGCGCCACGUGUGGCGCCACUGAAAGUACCCGGAGAAAAAGCAUCGGCUAACUCCGUGCCAACAGCCGCGGU
rnacentral:rRNA from 1 species